rnacentral:rRNA from 1 species
GAUGAACGCUAGCUACAGGCUUAACACAUGCAAGUCGAGGGGAACGAUAGAGAAAGCUUGCUUUUUCUAGGCGUCGACCGGCGCACGGGUGAGUAACGCGUAUCCAACCUGCCCAUCACUUGGGGAUAACCUUGCGAAAGUAAGACUAAUACCCAAUGACGUCUCUAGAAGACAUCUGAAAGAGGUUAAAGAUUUAUCGGUGAUGGAUGGGGAUGCGUCUGAUUAGCUGUUGGCGGGGUAACGGCCCACCAAGGCGACGAUCGGUAGCCGGACUGAGAGGUUGAACGGCCACAUUGGGACUGAGACACGGCCCAGACUCCUACGGGAGGCAGCAGUGGGGAAUAUUGCACAAUGGGGGAAACCCGUGAUGCAGCGACGCCGCGUGGAGGAAGAAGGUCUUCGGAUUGUAAACUCCUGUUGUUGAGGAAGAUAAUGACGGUACUCAACAAGGAAGUGACGGCUAACUACGUGCCAGCAGCCGCGGU